rnacentral:rRNA from 1 species
CCUACGGGAGGCAGCAGUGAGGAAUAUUGGUCAAUGGCCGGAAGGCUGAACCAGCCAUGCCGCGUGAAGGUCAGUGCCCUAUGGGCGUUAAACUUCUUUUGUGCGGGAGCAAUAAUGGUCACGUGUGGCCAGCCGAGAGUACCGUACGAAUAAGCAUCGGCUAACUCCGUGCCAGCAGCCGCGGUAAUACGGGGGAUGCAAGCGUUAUCCGGAUUGAUUGGGGUUAAAGGGGGCGUAGGCGGGGAGGUAAGUCAGCGGUGAAAUGCACCCGCUCAACGGGGUGAAGUGCCAUUGAUACUGCCUUGCUGGACUGCGGCUGCCGUGGGCGGAAUGUGUGGUGUAGCGGU